GAUGAACGCUGGCGGCAUGCCUGACACAUGCCAGUCGAUCGGUAAGGCUCUUCGGAGUACACGAGAGGCGGACGGCUGAGUAACGCGUAGGAACACACCCUGCAGUGAGGGAUAAGACACCGAAAGGUGUUCUAAUACCGCAUACGGUCUUCGGAUUAAAGCAUUUAUGCGCUGAAGGAGUGGCCUGCGUCAUAUUAGAUAGUUGGUGAGGUAAUGGCUCACCAAGUCGAUGAUGUGUAGCUGGUCUGAGAGGAUGAUCAGCCAGACUGGAACUGAGACACGGUCCAGACUCCUACGGGAGGCAGCAGUGAGGAAUAUUUCACAAUGAGCGAAAGCUUGAUGGAGCAAUGCCGCGUGCAGGAUGAAGGCCCUCGGGUUGUAAACUGCUUUUAUAAGAGAAGAUUAUGACGGUAACUUAUGAAUAAGGGACGGCUAACUACGUG
rnacentral:rRNA from 1 species